rnacentral:lncRNA from 1 species
UUGGCUCGGGAUUAGUGUCCAGCACAUGGCGUGCGGGUCUCGUGUGGAGGCUGGCGUUGACUGUGGGGAGUGAUGGUUUCGGACUGUGUGGGUGUUGCAGGGACCCCGGAGGUGGAGGAGAGGAAGGCGCAGAGGAGCUACUGGGAGGAGCACUCCAGGGACCUCACCGUCGAGGCCAUGAUGCUCGACUCCCGCGCCGCCGAGCUCGACAAGGAGGACCGCCCAGAGGUGAUGCCGCGACAACGUUUUUGUCAAUUUUCACUCUGUCGCUUUAGUGAUUGUUUGUGAGUUCGUGACUCAUCUGCUUGAAUCUGGCCAUCUGGGGAUUAUGUGUCAUGCCUUUGCCUUUGCCUCCCAAAUGGAGUAUCUCGGUGGCAGUCUCUAAGAGGGACGCCUGGUGAAACAAAUGGGUCUCUCAGCUUCAACGCAAGCGUGUUGUGAGUUAUGACUGUGAAAUGUUGACGCUGACAGAUAGAUAUUCUUCGGAUUUUGCGAGUGAAAUGUGAUCCGUGUCAGUGAAAUGUGAUCUGGUCUUAACUUCAUCUAUGCACGUGUCCUAUACAGUUUCUAAGUUAAACAGUAGAAUUUGGCAAACUUGUCUGAUUUCAAUGCCACUGGUGCCCUCUUGGUGUAAUGUUUUGCUGCCUAGGUAUACCCAGUCUAGAGGAAAUACGCCCUUUUACUCUGGUCAAUUGUGGCUGGAAGAUUUGUUUCAUUUAAAUAAGUAAUCUGUUUGUUGAUCCUUUACCUUUUUACUGUUCAGCUGAAGCGCGGAAAGAAUUACCUUUUGGAAAAAUAAAAGCUAAUGGUAGCCGAACAAUAUUAAAACCUUUCUGGGAGUUGGUCAUUUCCCUACAAUGUCCAAAGAAAUUGGGAGCACUGUAUUUUGAUUUGUUGUGUGAAAUAAACGCAGGUUGAGGGCAAAUUACCAAAAUAAAAAUUUUAUUUGACUACCCUCAUAUAAGAUGGCCCCAUAAUUUUUCGGUUUCAAUUGUAAAUUCUUAUUUCCCACAUUAUGGAGCUUGGAUUGUCAACAUUUAGGGAUAUGGAAAAAGGGUAAUUUUCUAUAAAUCCAGUUCACAGCCUGAGUUUCUUUUGCUUUGCUUUGUUUUAUGAUAGGUACUAAGGCACCCUCGUUUUUUCUUGCAGAGUGUUAAAUUUUUGUGUCUGAAAUGCAAACUUGUUUGGUGUUAUGAACCUUACAGGAAGCAUCUGCCCUGACAUAUCGCAGCUACGAUAUUUCUUGUUUCUUGUGGAAUCUGUAAAUGAAGUUGUGAAGCUGAGAACUAAAAUUGGAAUUGAUCUAUUCUUUAAUUUACAAUCAACCCUGCUGUAUUUGAUUUUGAAUAACAGUCUAAUAUACCACAGAAUGUAUACUAGGUCACUGAGCUUGAAAUGAAUCUUUAAUUUUUGCGACAUUUUGAUAUAUUGGUGCUUCUUUUCCGUAGGUACUGUCUUUACUCCCUUCAUAUGAAGGGAAAUCUGUACUGGAACUGGGCGCUGGAAUAGGUCGCUUUACAGGUGAACUGGCUAAAACAGCUGGGCAUGUUUUUGCACUGGAUUUCAUUGAAAGUGUCAUUAAGAAGGUAGUGAAAUUGACAAUUUCUUCUGAUUUAAAUUUUUUUUUGCUUGACAGCCUGAAAUAUGAUGCCUUCUUUUAAUUUAUACAUAGAUAUGCUUGUUUGAUUUGUAUCUUUUCUGCAUUUUUUCUUGUAGAAUGAAAGCACAAAUGGCCACUACAAGAACACAUCAUUUAUGUGUGCUGAUGUUACAUCCCCAGACCUGAUCAUUGAAGAGAACUCGGUUGAUCUGAUAUUUUCAAACUGGUUGCUGAUGUAUCUUUCAGAUGAGGAGGUAAUGAGUGAGCCAUAGAUUUGGAUUCAAGAUUGAUUGUUUAAGAAAAACUCAACUGCAUUUUUUUAGCAUGGAUGGGGUUACACUUGUCAUUUGUCCUGAAUCAGAAUAUAUUUUGAUUAUAUGUCUCGAUUUUUGCUAACUUUAUCUCUUACUGUAGAUUGACAAGCUAGCAGAAAGAAUGGUAAAAUGGCUGAAGGUUGGUGGCUAUAUCUUCUUUAGGGAAUCUUGCUUCCAUCAAUCUGGGGAUUUAGAAAGGAAAGUGAACCCAACACACUAUAGAGAACCAAGGUUUUAUACUAAGGUGAGAAUGCAAACUCGCUCACUUCCUUCCCCUUUGCUUCUGUGACUUCAGGAUCAGACUCAGCACUGAAAGUUUUUGUGCUUUUACCUGCUCCACUCUUUAGUUUUCUUAGUUUGAAUACCUCUUUCUUCAAAAUAGUUGAUGAUGUCUUUUCCCAAAUAGGUUUUCAAAGAGUGCCAAGCCUUUAAUCGAGAUGGCACUUCCUUCAAUCUUUCUCUGGUUACUUUCAAGUGCAUUGGAGCUUAUGUAGAAAUCAAGAAAGAUCAAAACCAGGUACUUCUCUGUCCUAUCACAUGCACAUAGACGUGUUUCCAUUGUUUUGAAAUUAGUGAUGAACAUGACUCCAUGAUGAACAUGCCCUUUCAGAUAUGUUGGCUAUGGAAAAAGGUACAUUCAUCUGAAGAUGGGGGAUUUCAAAGUUUUUUGGACAAUGUGCAGUACAAAGCCAGUGGAAUUUUACGCUAUGAACGUAUCUUUGGAGAUGGUUAUGUGAGCACUGGUGGAGUUGGUGAGUGGAUACAUCCAUUUUUGUCAUUUUUGUGAUAUUCUAUUUGCAGUGCCAUUAAAUGUUAUUAUUUAUCACCAUCCACCAGAGACUACAAAAGAAUUUGUGGAUAGACUGGAUCUUAAACCUGGGCAGAAGGUUCUUGAUGUUGGAUGUGGGAUUGGGGGAGGCGACUUUUAUAUGGCAGAAGAGUAUGGUACUCAUGUUGUUGGCAUUGAUCUUUCUAUUAACAUGAUAUUAUUUGCCCUUGAGCGUGCUGUUGGGCGCAAGUGCUCCGUGGAGUUUGAAGUUGCUGAUUGCACAACGAAGACAUACCCUGACCAUACAUUCGAUGUCAUCUACAGCCGUGAUACUAUCCUUCAUAUACAAGUAUGUUCAUACCAUUCAUGUACUGUCCAUUUGGAGUGUCUUUCCCCCCUAGAUGAUAGAGCUACAGCCUUCUCAUAAACAGUCAUGGAUAGUAUCUCCAGUUGGAGAUGAAUUGAAACUUGAAGUUCCCCAUCUUGGAAUUUUUAAUCACCGUCCAACAUCACAUAUGUAUGGCAUAUCUUUAUUUGACUGUUUGACUAGCAUGUCAUUUGUUGCUUUUGCUUCUUCAGGAUAAACCCUCCUUGUUCAAGAGCUUCUUCAAAUGGCUAAAGCCUGGGGGAAAGGUCCUAAUCAGCGACUACUGCAGGAGUCCUGGGAAACCAUCAGAAGAGUUUGCAGCAUACAUUAAACAGAGAGGUUAUGACCUUCAUGACGUGGACGCUUAUGGACAGGUACUCGUUACCUGGAAGUUUUUGCGGUUCAUGCUUGUACAAUUUCUUUGACCUAAAUUCUGAAUUCCUUCAAAGUUCUAAGUAAUGCUAACUUUGUUCGUCAAACUAUCAGAUGCUCAAGAAUGCUGGUUUCAGUCAUGUCAUUGCUGAAGACCGAACUGAUCAGGUUUGUCCCUCUAAAUGUAUGCAGUGUGCAUGCUCAUGUUCUGUUCUACUAAGACGUUUGGAUCAGAAACCGGUUUUGAUGAUACUCAUAGUGCUCUGUGUUGCAUUCCAGUUCCUCGGGAUUUUACAGAAGGAGCUGGAUAAAUUUGAAAAGAGCAAAGCUGAUUUUCUGUCUGACUUCAGCCAGGUGAUUUGGCAAAGGCCUUAAGAAGUUCAACAAUGAACUGUCCGGCAGUUUAGAAGCCUGCAUCUCUAACUUUAGCUCUUCAUUCAUUCCCAGGGCGACUAUGACGACAUUGUGAACGGAUGGAAGGCAAAGGUGCAGAGGAGCUCUGCUGGUGAGCAGAGGUGGGGCUUGUUCAUCGCGACCAAGUGAUGGUCCUGAACUCCUGAUGCCCGUGUGGCCUUAUUACAAAUAAGGUGGCUCUCACCAGAAUAAAUAAAGAAAGAAAGAAAAAGUUUCUCGAGACUUUGCUUGCUGUCGCAUUGGUUUUUCUGAACCCAGCGAGAGCAUGCUGGUGCCUAAUUACGGUUCCUUUGUGCUUGGGACCGGUUCAAUGUCCUGAGCAAAUUGUCGCAAUCAAAACCACUGGCAGAGUCCUCGUAACAUUUUGCUUGCUUGUCUGUGCUACUUGUGCUGAAAUCCUGCUAAAACCCGAUUGUAAAAAAAAAAAACUGCAGGCGGCGGAUACCGACAGGUGUGGAUCCAAAGCACACGCUCCAUGGGAUGCCUUUGUACUGCCACUUAUUUCUACGCCUACUUCUUGAUCUUUUUGUCGUGAGAGGACAGACAGAUCAUGUCUUUUUAUGGUCAGGGUCCUCGGUUUUAUAUUCGUGUUCGAUGCUCCCUGUCGCUCUUGACUCAUGAGCGUAUGCACGUGGGCAUCGAGCGCUGGUCAUCCAACGGAGGUGGUGAGUUUUCUAGGCGCGGAUGGUGAGGUGGAUUUGGUCUAGACACACAGAGCGCUGCUUUGCAGCUGCCUUCUGCUGCUCGGCAGAGAGCGGCACCGCGGCAGCAGCAGCAGCAUCCAUCGUCCGAAUAGGCAGAACGAACCCGCUGCUGCCGUGUAGUAGUAGUACGUAUUACUUCAGAGUGAAGAAGACGUUGGACAUUAUUUUCCCGAAUUUCAAUCGCACCAGCCGCGCGAAUCUACUCCUGCUACCAUUUAUCGCCUUUUGGCCUCAAAAACGCCAGCACGGAGGGUAGCAGCCUAGCAGGUGCUGGAUGCAAAGGUCAAAUUCGCUAGGCGCGUCACGUCGAGAAGCUCGACAGACGGCAAUGUUGGGCGGAACGACACAUGUUUGAGAUUUGAAUAUCUGGCUGCCGGAGUUCACUCAGAAAUCAUCUAGUGAUCGUUUGUGCGUUCUACUACGUUGUGACUUGUCACUUGUGAGAUCAUUCAGAAAUCAGAAGUACUCUGACCUAACUGUUGCAGUUUUCUAUCUGGCUUCUCGGUCCUCGAUUUGAUUGCCAGCAAUCAACACCACUGGGUGAGUCGCUCGUGUGAAUUUCCCAUCCACUGCGCUUUCUCAAGAACUGAACUCUGAAGCCGUCUGUAAUCGAGGUUGUAGUUCGUGUUCACCAUGAAUCCAUGAUACCACUUCUCACGCUGUGUUGGUUACUGAAGGAUUGUCACUUUGCGAGACGAAUGGUGAUUCCCCGGUUGAAUCGUCAGACAGGCACGGUGGGCGCAUACGUCCAAUGAGUGCCACACUGCCACAGUGCUCAGCGAAACGACAAAAGAUUAAAAAAAAAACUCGCCGAUCCAAUACCCACGCUGCGCGUGCUGCGGGAGGCCCCCGCCCCAACCCGGCACAGAUCUCACGGUCGAUCGCCCAUCCGCUCCCGAUCCCCCCUCCCGAUUCCCGCCUAUAAAUUCCCGUCACCCUCCCGUUCCCAGUCGCCAGCCACAGCCACGGUUCACGCCUCCUGUCGCGCCUCCUUCCUCCCCCACAACCUCGCCGCGAUCCGGUUGUGGAUGCAGCAGCGCGGCCGCUCCUUCAACCGCCGCUCCCGGAGCUUCUCCCGCGCCCGCCUCGCCAUCGAGGGGUCUUAAUCUCUCGGUCCUCCCCCCUCGUUUGAGCUCGGUUCUGAAUUCCCGACCGACGAACGAACGAACGAACGAACGGAUCGACUUGCCGUGAUGGACGCCGCCACUGCUGUUUCUGUUAACGGUAAGAGAUUGGACCCCCGCGCGAGCGGAUCAGAUCCUCUCUUUGCGUUUCCCAUCCGGUGUCCAUUUCGUCUUGUUAUUUGGUUUGGGAGAAGCGCCGAGCACAUUGUGCGCGGGGCUCCUGUUUUUCCUGGGGGAUGAUUUGCUUGCGGUCGUGUGGGCGUUGCAGGGAAGAUGGAGGUGGAGGAGAGGCAGGCGCAGAAGAGCUACUGGGAGGAGCACUCCAGGGACCUCACCGUCGAGGCCAUGAUGCUCGACUCCCGCGCCGCCGAUCUCGACAAGGAGGAGCGCCCCGAGGUGAUCCAUUCCGCGAUGGCAUUUCCCCCCUUUGUCCACUCCGGUGCUUAGCGAAUAUACUGUUAGCGUUUCGUUCAGUUCCUUUUGUGAUCCAUCUUCUUGGAUCUGGGGAGCACGUGUCUGC